ensembl:lncRNA
AAGUAAACAUACUGUCAUGUCUGAUGUUUGUAGCAGAAUGAAAAGGGCGGGAAAAAAACCUACCAGCGAUUUCAGCGGCAGAAAUCUGGUGAAGACUGCAGUUUUCACAGCUAUCUUUACUGUGUGUGGACGAAAAACGCGACGGCUCUGACUGAGGGUUCUGGGGCUUGAGAUGCCUUUUGCCAAGUAUGAUUUCACACCUUGGAGAGGACAGAUGCUCAUCUGAGAGGUUUAACCCAGAGGACCCACUGACGGCCGUGCCUUUUAAAAUGGACUCAACCACAGCCUUUAAAAGGGAAAUUGCAUGGUCAUUGUGUUUGGGUAUAAUUGACCAACGAAUUUUCUUGAUUCAAAAAUCCUGGGGAAGAAAAACCUAAACAUCUUUUAUAGAAGCAGCAGAACAGAGCCUUCCAAAAACCCACAUGGUGUGUCAAUAUUGUUUUAGGACCACGUGAAGCUAUUUGGAAAUCAAUAUGUAAACGUUUUUAUGAAGUGAGCCAUACGUCAAAUGAGAAAGGACAAAAGGAAUACAAUUGGGAAGAAGAAAAUACAGAGUGUCUGUUUAUGGCAUCACUUAAUACGUCUGUUUUCCUCUAGGCAAAGUUUCUUUAUUAUUGUUGAUGUGAUUCUUUUUAUUCCAUUUUCUGUACCACGAGCAGAGUGCAGGCGGAUUCUUUACCAGCUGAGCCACCAGGGAAGCCCAAGAAUACUGGAGUGGGCAGCCUAUCCCUUCUGCAGGGGGUCUGAACCGGGAUCUCCUGCAUCGCAGGCGGAUUCUUUACCAGCUGAGCCGCUGUAACUAAGAAACAAAAUCAUCUCCAGACACCAUGGACCACAGCCGUAAUUCUGCCACCGACUUUCUGCUUGACCUUGGAUAAGACACCGGGUUUCUUGGCCUGAAUUUCUUCAUCUGCAACAUGAGGAGUUUGAACUCAAAGAUAUUAUAU